CAGCUGGAGACAGACCACCCCCCACCCCAGGAAGAGAUGUCAGCCAUUCCCUGGGCACAGGAGGGCUGUGCAGAGAAGAGGGAGCCCAGAUGCCCUCCUCCUCCUCCUCCAUUCACUUCAGACCCCAGGGCCAUGGGUGUGUGGUGGUGCAGGACUCAAGAGCCACUGAGAGGAGCAAGAGAGAAAAAGAGAAUGGAAAAGACUGAGCCAAUACAUCCCUGCCAAUGCCAGGCUCCUGAGAGGUGCUUCCUGGCCCAGAAUGACAAAGGAAGACAAUGUGGCUGAGGCAGGGAGACAGAAAAGCCCCUGACUAAAAAGCAGUGAUGGGAACAGGCAGUUAACGCUGGAAAGGUAAGUACCCAGAUACCUUACCUU